GACGAACGCUGGCGGCGUGCUUAACACAUGCAAGUCGAACGGAAAGGCCCUGCUUUUGUGGGGUGCUCGAGUGGCGAACGGGUGAGUAACACGUGAGUAACCUGCCCUUGACUUUGGGAUAACUUCAGGAAACUGGGGCUAAUACCGGAUAGGAGCUCCUGCUGCAUGGUGGGGGUUGGAAAGUUUCGGCGGUUGGGGAUGGACUCGCGGCUUAUCAGCUUGUUGGUGGGGUAGUGGCUUACCAAGGCUUUGACGGGUAGCCGGCCUGAGAGGGUGACCGGGGACCAUGGGACUGAGGUACGGACCAGAAGCCAACGGGAGGCAACGGGGGGGAAUAUUACACAACGGGGGGAAGCCUGAUGCAGCAACGCCGGGUUCGGGAUGACGGCCUUCGGGUUGUAAACCGCUUUCGCCUGUGACGAAGCGUGAGUGACGGUAAUGGGUAAAGAAGCACCGGCUAACUACGUG
rnacentral:rRNA from 1 species